rnacentral:rRNA from 1 species
AUGCCUCUCGCUUGCAAGGCCCUGCAAAAACCCAAGGCUGCCAUGGCGAUCAUCAACUCGGCGAGUACAAAACUGAGAUGGAUCCUGGCGCCGCUGCUCGUCCUGGCCAUGACGACGACUCGAGUCCAUGGCCAGCCUUCUUCUACCUCUGGGUUCAUAAGCCUCGACUGUGGAAAGAGAAAUAAUACUCCCUACACCGACAGCAGCAUACGAGGAAUACAGCACCAGUCCGACGCUGGAUUCGUCGAGGGCGGUUUGACCCACCAAAUAGCAGCAGUGUACAUGGCUGGUGCCCCAUAUGAGAGUCAAAAAACCUUGAGGAGCUUCCCCAACGGCUCAAGGAAUUGCUACACGCUGCCAUCCACCCCUGGUAAAAAGCUGGUGAGGGCCUUGUUUACUUACGGCGACUACGACGGGUUGAACCGGACCAUGGACGGGUCGCCAUUUUUAUUUGGGCUCCAUAUCGGUGCCAAUUUCUGGGAGGCGGUAAACUUGACAAAUUGGGAUCCAUCAAGCACAAUAUGGAAGGAGGUGCUCACCGUUGCUCCGGGCGACUCGGUGUCGGUCUGUCUGAUAAACUUCGGUACAGGGACUCCAUUCGUGUCUGCGUUGGAGCUGAGGCCACUGCAAGAUUCAAUGUACCCUUUUGUGAAUUCUUCGGUGUCAAUCAGCUACUUUCGCCGGAUCAGAUUUGGUCAAGCCACUGACUUCAUCACAAGAUAUCCAUUGGACCCUUACGACCGGUUCUGGGAGGGCUGGUCUUUCUCCUACAACACCUACCCCUGGAUGACCCUAAACACUAGCAGUCCAGUGAGAAGGCUACCCGGCGACAACACCUUCCAGGUACCAGAGGGCAUCCUCCAGCAGGCCAGCACUCUAGACACAAACUACUCCUUCUUCGAGAUCAAUGUGGCAGUGGGUCCCAACCUGGACGCCAAGAAUCUGCAGCUUCUCCCGAUCUUCCACUUUGCCGAGAUCAACAUCAGCAACCAGAAUAGGAGGUUCGACAUCUACAGCGACAAUGACUUGCUGUUUCCAGACUUCUCGCCGUCAAGAUUUCAGGCGGACAGCAUGCACGAGAACGGGCGGUUCUUGCAUAACCCUACCGCAACCUUCCUGCUGAACAAGACACGCAGCUCAAGGCUCCCGCCGCUCAUCAAUGCGUUUGAGGUGUACUCGCUAGUGCGGAUGGAUAACCUCACCACUGACGCCGACGAUGUCAAUUACAUGAAAGAAGUCAAGAAACACUACAAUUUGGCACGAAUAAACUGGAACGGAGAUCCAUGCUCCCCAAGAGAAUAUUCCUGGGAAGGUUUGACUUGCGACUACUCUAAGAGAAACCAGAAUCCGAGGAUUGUUGCAGUAGAUCUGUCUACUAGUGGACUGAAAGGUGGAUUAAUCAUAUCAUUCAUGAACAUGGCAUCACUGGAGAACUUGGAUUUAUCACACAACAAUUUGACAGGAGCUAUUCCAGACUACCAAAUAAAGUCACUCAAAGUUCUCGAUUUGUCAUAUAACCAGCUCGAUGGACCAAUCCCUAAUUAUAUUCUUCAAAGAUCUCAGGCCGGUCUGCUUGACUUAAGGUUAGAAGGCAAUCCCGUAUGCUCAAAAGUCAAAGAUACGUACUGUUCAAAUAAGAAGAACACCAAAUCUACCAUGCUCAUCGCAGUGAUAGUUCCUGUAGUACUGGUAUCCCUCCUAGUAGUGAUGUGCAUACUCUGGAAAUUGUGCUGGAAAGGGAAGUCAGGAGACAAUGAGGAUUAUGCUAUGUAUGAAGAGGAAACACCCCUACAUAUUGAUAUCAAACGGUUCACGUACGCAGACCUGAAACACAUAACAAACGACUUCAAACAAAUCGUUGGAAAAGGAGGUUUUGGUACUGUUUAUCAUGGCACAAUGGAAAAUGGUGAUGAAGUAGCUGUUAAGGUGCUUAUGGAGACAUCAAUAGCGGAGUCAACAGAUUUCCUCCCUGAGGUGCAAACCUUGUCCAAAGUUCAUCACAAGAAUCUCGUGACUCUACAAGGAUAUUGCCAGAACACGAAGUGCCUAGCCCUCGUUUAUGACUUCAUGCCCAGAGGAAAUCUUCAACAGCUUUUAAGAGAAGGAGAUGACUACAGUUUGACUUGGGAACAGCGACUUCAUAUUGCACUUGAUUCGGCACAAGGACUGGAAUAUCUACAUGAGUCAUGCACCCCAUCAAUAGUUCACAGAGAUGUCAAGACAGCCAACAUCCUUCUGGACAAGAACCUGGUGGGGAUAAUAGCUGAUUUUGGGCUUUCGCGGGCUUUUAACGAUGCACACACGCACAUAUCUACCGUUGCUGCUGGCACUCUCGGCUACCUCGACCCCGAGUACCAUGCAACUUUCCAGCUCACCAUCAAGACGGAUGUUUACAGCUUCGGCAUCGUGCUCUUGGAGAUCAUCACUGGCAAGCCCCCGGUAUUGAUGGACCCUCACACCUACCACCUACCAAACUGGGUACGCCAAAAGAUUGCGAAAGGCAGUAUUCAAGAUAUCGUGGACAAGAGGCUGUUGGAUCAGUACGACGCCAAUUCCCUGCAGAGCGUGGUGGACCUUGCCAUGAACUGUGUGGAGAGUGCAGCCAUCGACAGGCCGAGCAUGACCGAGGUUGUUUCAAGGCUAAAAGUGUUGUUGCCAACGACUCCAAGCCAGAAACAGUAUGCUUCCCCGUCCUCCACGAAGUCCAUGAAUGAUGAAAUGCGAAAGCAGUUCCAGCUGUUGAUUUCUGGAGAAGGCAACUACGAGAGCUCCAGCUCCUUCCAGUCUCGCUAUACCAGUAGGAUGACAGAAUUGCCCCCCUUAUCUGGACGGUGA